rnacentral:lncRNA from 1 species
AUUAGAUAAAACUGUGAGUGAUGAAUUUCUCAUCAUGAUAGAGAAAUGAACUUCCCUCUACACAGCGUCACACACGUUUAUUUUUGUUAUUGCUAGCAUUAAAAAGAAUAGUUGUAUCUAGAAUUGGUAGCAGAAUAAAGCAAGAGUAAGGCAAAUGGACGCAAUCAGCUAGGUAAUAUAACAAAAUCAAAUCCCAAAAAUUUCCUUCCUUAUCUGUUGUAUGAGUCACUCACUGUAUGUAUUGUAAAGGAUCUCACACUUAAAUGCAAGAAUUAUAUUAUAACAAUUACAUCCCUCAUUAUAUUUUUUUAAAGCAAAAGACAAUAACGUUACUCUUUUCAUUUGCAGAAAUCAUGUAAAGAAUGGCAGAACACCUAAAUCAUCUAAAGAAAAAACGAUAAGAAGUCAUCUAAAGAAAAAACAACCUAAAGCAUAAAUCACCUAAAUCAUGUAAGAAAAUGGCAGAACACCGAUGUGGUGAGAAGAAUGAAUCGAACAAAGAAGAAGUAGCUUCACGGUGAUAUGGCAGAACACCUAGAAGAAGUAGCUUCAUAGUAGCAUACACACAGACAAAAGAUGACAUUUACAUGUAAUGUUGAGAUUUCGCUUCAAAUUUGUGGUUUGGAAG